rnacentral:rRNA from 1 species
GACGAACGCUGGCGGCGUGCUUAACACAUGCAAGUCGAACGGUGAAAGAAGAGCUUGCUCUUCUGGAUCAGUGGCGAACGGGUGAGUAACACGUGAGUAACCUGCCCCAGACUCUGGAAUAAGCGCUGGAAACGGCGUCUAAUACCGGAUGCGAGACAGAGCUGCAUGGCUACUGUCUGGAAAGUUUUUCGGUCUGGGAUGGACUCGCGGCCUAUCAGCUUGUUGGUGAGGUAACGGCUCACCAAGGCAACGACGGGUAGCCGGCCUGAGAGGGCGACCGGCCACACUGGGACUGAGACACGGCCCAGACUCCUACGGGAGGCAGCAGUGGGGAAUAUUGCACAAUGGGCGAAAGCCUGAUGCAGCGACGCCGCGUGAGGGAUGACGGCCUUCGGGUUGUAAACCUCUUUCAGCAGGGAAGAAGCGAAAGUGACGGUACCUGCAGAAGAAGCACCGGCUAACUACGUG